rnacentral:rRNA from 1 species
UACAGAGGUCUCAAGCGUUGUUCGGAUUUAUUGGGCGUAAAGGGUGCGCAGGCUGUAUGGUAAGUUUGGUGUGAAAUCCUGGGGCUUAACCCCCAGAAUUGCACUGAAUACUGCCGUGCUAGAGGACUGGAGAGGAGAUUGGAAUUCACGGUGUAGCAGUGAAAUGCGUAGAUAUCGUGAGGAAGACCAGUGGCGAAGGCGAAAUCUCUGG